UACGGGGGGGGGCAAGCGUUUGUUCGGAAUUACUGGGCGUAAAGGGCGCGUAGGCGGUUUGCUAAGUUGGAUGUGAAAACUCUGGGCUUAACCCAGAGCCUGCAUCCAAAAACUGGCAAACUUGAGUACUGGAGGGGAAAGCGGAAUUCCUGGUGUAGCGGUGGAAUGCGCAGAUAUCAGGAGGAACACCGGUGGCGAAGGCGGGUCUCUGGGGCAGUAACUGACGCUGAGGAGCGAAAGCGUGGGGAGCGAACAGG
rnacentral:rRNA from 1 species